AGGUAGGAAACUGGCUUCGUUGGAUGGCCCUGGCUACUAUGAUGAUACUGAAAUAGGAAAAACAGAAGACCUGCCAGAACACAUCCCUCAUGAUGAGCUGCUUUACAACUAUGACGAUGUUGAGGAACCCUUAGAAUACUCCACAAUCGAUUCUCGUGGUGCCGUGGAGUACCCAUUACCUCCUGAAUAUGAUGAUAUCGAGGAUGAGGCUCUUGGAGGAGAAUCACCCUAAAUUCUGCGCUGUGGUCAAAGAUGCCUUUAACAGUGUGAUGAACAUGUCUAAAUCUUUACUGUAACAAUAAAUAUAUCAUUGUCACUUGUGUUAUUUUUUUAAGUUUGAAUAUUAGAAAAUGUUUUUGCUUUAACCAAAAUUUCAAUUUAAAAUGAUUUGAACAAAAAACAUGAUAUUAUGAAAUGCACUAAUUUAAUUAACUAUUUAAUUAACUCUUUACUAGUAAAGUACAUUUUUUCUGCAAUCUUUAUUACUUCU